rnacentral:rRNA from 1 species
AUUGAACGCUGGCGGCAUGCCUUACACAUGCAAGUCGAACGGUAACAGGUUAAGCUGACGAGUGGCGAACGGGUGAGUAAUGUAUCGGAACGUGCCCAGUCGUGGGGGAUAACUACUCGAAAGAGUGGCUAAUACCGCAUACGACCUGAGGGUGAAAGCGGGGGACCGUAAGGCCUCGCGCGAUUGGAGCGGCCGAUAUCAGAUUAGCUAGUUGGUGGGGUAAAAGCCCACCAAGGCGACGAUCUGUAGCUGGUCUGAGAGGACUACCAGCCACACUGGGACUGGGACACGGCCCAGACUCCUACGGGAGGCAGCAGUGGGGAAUUUUGGACAAUGGACGCAAGUCUGAUCCAGCCAUGCCGCGUGCGGGAAGAAGGCCUUCGGGUUGUAAACCGCUUUUGUCAGGGAAGAAACGAGUUUCUCUAAUACAGAGACUUAAUGACGGUACCUGAAGAAUAAGCACCGGCUAACUACGUGCCAGCCGCCGCAGUAAUAC